rnacentral:rRNA from 1 species
GAUGAACGCUGGCGGCGUGCCUAAUACAUGCAAGUCGAGCGAACGGACGAGAAGCUUGCUUCUCUGAUGUUAGCGGCGGACGGGUGAGUAACACGUGGAUAACCCACCUAUAAGACUGGGAUAACUUCGGGAAACCGGAGCUAAUACCGGAUAAUAUUUUGAACCGCAUGGUUCAAAAGUGAAAGACGGUCUUGCUGUCACUUAUAGAUGGAUCUGGGCUGCAUUAGCUAGUUGGUAAGGUAACGGCUUACCAAGGCAACGAUGCAUAGCCGACCUGUGAGGGUGAUCGGCCGCACUGGAAGGGAGACGCGGUCCAGCGGCCUGCGGGAGGCAGCAGAAGGGAAUGUUCCGCAAUGGGCGAGAACCUGGCGGAGCAGCGCCGCGUGAGUGGUAGAGGUCUUCGGAUCGUAAAACUCUGUUAUUAGGGAAAAACAUAUGUGUCAGUAGCUGUGCACAUAUUGACGGUACCUAGUCAAAAAGCAACGGCUAACUACGUG